rnacentral:lncRNA from 1 species
UUCAUUUAUUUUUGCAGUUUAAAAUAAAAAACAAAUAAAAAUGGCAAUGUUUUCAUUUUUCUUUUUCAAUUUCUCACACCGGUUCUAAAGCAAUGCAUGAAUCAACAUUCAUGCAGAUGCGAUUCUUCUCCGGAUCUCAUUGAUAACAAUCCUGUUACACCCUCGUAUGACUUCGACAAUCCAAUCUAUCUUGCUGAAGAAGAAGACGAAGAAGAUUGUGAACUGCCAGGGGAAUUAGCCAGGUUGUUGAAACAAGAGGAGAAGGUGAUUCAGC